ACACUCUACCCUCCCCCAGAAAGUUGCCAAAAGAAAAUGAUCGAAAAAAACAAUUUUAUCCGACCUGCCGGAUUCGAACCAGCGACCUAAGGAUAUCUGAAAGGCUUACACCUACUACAGUCCUCCGCUCUACCAACUGAGCUAAGAGUAGGAGUAUAUUAUAUGGUAAGUCCUUUACAUAUAUAAAAAAAAAGAUGGCAAAAGAAUAAAUCCGACCUGCCGGAUUCGAACCAGCGACCUAAGGAUAUCUGAAAGGCUUACA